CACGUAGGCACCAAGCGUUGUCCGGAUUUAUUGGGCGUAAAGAGCGUGUAGGCGGCCCGGUAAGUCCGCUGUGAAAGUCGGGGGCUCAACCCUCGAAUGCCGGUGGAUACUGUCGGGCUAGAGUGCGGAAGAGGCGAGUGGAAUUCCUGGUGUAGCGGUGAAAUGCGCAGAUAUCAGGAGGAACACCGAUUGCGAAGGCAGCUCGCUGGGACGUAACUGACGCUGAGACGCGAAAGCGUGGGGAGCAAACAGG
rnacentral:rRNA from 1 species